AUGCUUCUCCUAAAGACUAAGCCACGUAUGCCUCCGAAUAGAAGAGCAAUUCUCUCUGAAUCUGCGAACGGCUCCGCAAACCAGUUGUAAACUAGAGCAAGCAAGUCUGGCGGGCUUCGGCCUCCAGACGAUAUGGAUAACCCUGGUAAUUCUGAGGCUAAUACAUGACCGCAAAACCGGGCAGCCCAGCAAUGGAUGCUCGGGGAUGUGCGAUAUGGCUUGACUAUGACCGGGAAAGGGCG
rnacentral:rRNA from 1 species